rnacentral:rRNA from 2 species
UCAUUGGAGAGUUUGAUCCUGGCUCAGGACGAACGCUGGCGGCGUGCUUAACACAUGCAAGUCGAACGGAAAGGCCCUGCUUUUGUGGGGUGCUCGAGUGGCGAACGGGUGAGUAACACGUGAGUAACCUGCCCUUGACUUUGGGAUAACUUCAGGAAACUGGGGCUAAUACCGGAUAGGAGCUCCUGCUGCAUGGUGGGGGUUGGAAAGUUUCGGCGGUUGGGGAUGGACUCGCGGCUUAUCAGCUUGUUGGUGGGGUAGUGGCUUACCAAGGCUUUGACGGGUAGCCGGCCUGAGAGGGUGACCGGCCACAUUGGGACUGAGAUACGGCCCAGACUCCUACGGGAGGCAGCAGUGGGGAAUAUUGCACAAUGGGCGGAAGCCUGAUGCAGCAACGCCGCGUGCGGGAUGACGGCCUUCGGGUUGUAAACCGCUUUCGCCUGUGACGAAGCGUGAGUGACGGUAAUGGGUAAAGAAGCACCGGCUAACUACGUGCCAGCAGCCGCGGUGAUACGUAGGGUGCGAGCGUUGUCCGGAUUUAUUGGGCGUAAAGGGCUCGUAGGUGGUUGAUCGCGUCGGAAGUGUAAUCUUGGGGCUUAACCCUGAGCGUGCUUUCGAUACGGGUUGACUUGAGGAAGGUAGGGGAGAAUGGAAUUCCUGGUGGAGCGGUGGAAUGCGCAGAUAUCAGGAGGAACACCAGUGGCGAAGGCGGUUCUCUGGGCCUUUCCUGACGCUGAGGAGCGAAAGCGUGGGGAGCGAACAGGCUUAGAUACCCUGGUAGUCCACGCUGUAAACGGUGGGUACUAGGUGUGGGGUCCAUUCCACGGGUUCCGUGCCGUAGCUAACGCUUUAAGUACCCCGCCUGGGGAGUACGGCCGCAAGGCUAAAACUCAAAGGAAUUGACGGGGCCCCGCACAAGCGGCGGAGCAUGCGGAUUAAUUCGAUGCAACGCGUAGAACCUUACCUGGGUUUGACAUGGAUCGGGAGCGCUCAGAGAUGGGUGUGCCUCUUUUGGGGUCGGUUCACAGGUGGUGCAUGGCUGUCGUCAGCUCGUGUCGUGAGAUGUUGGGUUAAGUCCCGCAACGAGCGCAACCCUUGUUCACUGUUGCCAGCACGUUAUGGUGGGGACUCAGUGGAGACCGCCGGGGUCAACUCGGAGGAAGGUGGGGAUGACGUCAAGUCAUCAUGCCCCUCAUGUCCAGGGCUUCACGCAUGCUACAAUGGCUGGUACAGAGAGUGGCGAGCCUGUGAGGGUGAGCGAAUCUCGGAAAGCCGGUCUCAGUUCGGAUUGGGGUCUGCAACUCGACCUCAUGAAGUCGGAGUCGCUAGUAAUCGCAGAUCAGCAACGCUGCGGUGAAUACGUUCCCGGGGCUUGUACACACCGCCCGUCAAGUCAUGAAAGUUGGUAACACCCGAAGCCGGUGGCCUAACCGUUGUGGGGGAGCCGUCGAAGGUGGGACUGGUGAUUAGGACUAAGUCGUAACAAGGUAGCCGUACCGGAAGGUGCGGCUGGAUCACCUCCUUU